CCCUUAGAUGUCCGGGGCUGCACGCGCGCUACACUGUAGAAAGCAGCGUGCUUUAAAACCUUUCCUGAAAAGGAUGGGUAACCCCAGCAAAAUUCUACGUGCUUGAGAUAGAGAUUUGCAAUUUUCUCUCUUGAACGAGGAAUUCCCAGUAAGUGCGAGUCAUCAGCUCGCGUUGAUUACGUCCCUGCCCUUUGUACACACCGCCCGUCGCUACUACCGAUUGGGAAAAUUUUAGAGAGUCCUGGACUGAUGAUUGUUCGGCUUCACGGCCUUACUUUCGUCGGGAAAGAAUUCGAUAAUAUUUUUCUAGAGGAAGUAAAAGUCGUAACA
rnacentral:rRNA from 1 species